UGUUUGAUUCCUUAAUUUUUGACUCCAAAGGGGCAUAAAAUCAAAUGUCCUUGUGAGCACAAAUCAAAUGUUCCGAUAUGAAAUCAGACAUCUCUCUAAUCUCUAUUUGUUAGUGCAUCUGAUUGGGUUGAUAUUUGAGAUGUCUUUGUUUUCAAAUGUAAUGAGUAGAUUUCCUUGUUCUGCUGUGUUCCAAAUUUUAUCCAUUAUCCUUCUACGCUAAAUUCACAGGGUUACAAGCUAUAAUUUGUCCAAGAUCCAAGAGUCCUUUGUUCCGCUGCAGGACUUUGAUAAAGGCAAGGAUGGCUAAAUCUCCAAGAACUGUGAGGUUUGCCUCACUAUUUUUCUUAUUAGAUCUUCCAUGAGAUGUCAUGGAUUUCUCACUUGCAAAUAUAGGCUGAAUUACCGAGUUCCAGUGAAUAUUGACAAGUUUAUCAUUAAUUAAUAUGUACAAAGAGGUUGCAAGAGGAUCCGUAAAUCCUAAAUCCUAAACCCUAAACCCUAAACCCUAAACUAUUUCCCACGUAAACAAAAUUGGUACUUUUUUAUUGCUUUAACCCUGAUCUCCCUAGCUACAAUAUAAGCAAUGAUCUAUUCCACCGUAUUUCCCAAAAUAACCAGUCCCAUUCAUAGACCCGUCAAUAAUCAAAACUCUUCCAUGAUCUUACCAAAAAAUCCACUCACAAGAAUCUCCACUCAUAAAUGGUUCCCUCAUACCUCCAUAUCUACUUUCGAUAAAGGAACUAAGCCACCAAACAGAAGCAUGAAGAACAACACACCAAGGAAGCUAACACUAGCAACCUUCUUUGUUUUCACCUCACUCUUCUUUUUCUCCACUUUCUUUCUACUAGUUGAUGCGGGCACUAUUGCCUGUGGUUUCAACUUUGGAAUUGAAACCAAUGUCACUAUCCUAGUUGCUUCAACAUAUAAGGUGGUGUAUAUGACAUCCAUGGAGGAGGAUGGGAAUACAUCCUGGGGGUGGCUGCACUUGAGGAGCUACACCAGUACCUCCAAGUUGUGCAUUUUCUGUUGUUUCGUAGGAUAUAUUUGCAUUCAAAUGUUGAAUUGGUGAAUGAAGUAUUCUAACUCCUCAACAUUAUGUGUUUUUCAUUACCUUGACAAGUGAGCACUUUCCCCUUUUAUCUAGCCG